rnacentral:misc_RNA from 1 species
GAUGAAGAACGUAGCGAAAUGCGAUAAGUAAUGUGAAUUGCAGAAUUCAGUGAAUCAUCGAAUCUUUGAACGCACAUUGCGCCCGCUAGUAUUCUGGCGGGCAUGCCUGUCCGAGCGUCAUUUCAACCCUCAAGCCCCCGGGCUUGGUGUUGGGGAUCGGCGAGCCUCCGCGCCCGCCGUCCCCUAAAUCUAGUGGCGGUCUCGCUGUAGCUUCCUCCGCGUAGUAGCACACCUCGCACUGGGAAACAGCGCGGCCACGCCGUUAAACCCCCAACUUCUGAACGUUUGACCUCGGAUCAGGUAGGAAUACCCGCUGAACUUAAGCAUAUCAAUAAGCGGAGGA